UACGUAGGUGGCAAGCGUUGUCCGGAUUUACUGGGCGUAAAGAGCGCGCAGGCGGUUGUGCAAGUCGCGUGUGAAAGCCCCCGGCUCAACUGGGGAGGGUCACGCGAUACUGCUCAACUCGAAGGCAGGAGAGGGAAGUGGAAUUCCCGGUGUAGUGGUGAAAUGCGUAGAUAUCGGGGAGGAACACCAGUGGCGAAGGCGACUUCCUGGCCUGUUCUUGACGCUGAGGCGCGAAAGCUAGGGUAGCAAACGGG
rnacentral:rRNA from 1 species